GUCAUGCAUAUAACAGGUUUUUAUAUAUAACAGGUUUUAUAACAGGAAAAAUGUCAUAAUUAAACAUUUUUCAAAUCACCCUUGAGGCAGAAAGCAUGGUGACGAUAAUACCGGAAAUAUUUAAACAAUUCAUUGCAUGUGGUCUUUGGAAAUGGGAAAUACGUACUAUUAGCCAGAAUUAUGAAAACUAUUCUGGCAAAUUGAUUUCACUGAUGAAUGCGAUCUAAUUCUGUUUUUACAUGUGUGUGGGUCUCCUCCGUGCAUUAGCUUUUCACUUUCAGUUUGUUUUGUACAUUUUCAGGAGUGUUCCGCUCUUUUAUGCCAAAAUAACCAAUGUGUAUAUUUUUGAAAGUCUACUUGAAGAGUGUGUUCAUUUGCUGAAGGCUUAUUUAUUUUCCAAAACGCAGAUAGUAUUGUUACAUUGUUCCGCUCUUUUAUGCCAAAAUAACCAAUGUGUAUAUUUUUGAAAGUCUACUUGAAGAGUGUGUUCAUUUGCUGAAGGCUUAUUUAUUUUCCAAAACGCAGAUAGUAUUGUUACAUUGAUUUACAGUCUGUUUUUGAUCAGUAGGUCAUGUUUUCGUGUGCUCUAAUUUUGAACUUAACAGUGGUGCUGUAAAGACACAUGUGGAGUGUAUUGUAAUAUUAAUAUUGCAGAAUUUUAAGAAAUCCGAUAGGGGCCUGACAUAGCACAGAAGAGGGAAACAGGAAUUGACAGGCAUAGUUGUGUUUGCCAGCACUCUGGGUCUGUUCAGAUGGAGGGCUGGUUUUCAGCUAGCUCCAAUUCAGUUAACUGUGGAGCUAAAAGUGUCAGUGCGGUCCAACAUGUGUUCCUAUUCAUACUGUGAUGGUAAUGCUGGUGCUUGAGCGCAGUGGAGCUAAGAAUCCAUGGAAGGCUUGCCUGUCACCCUGUCUCUGUGCUUUACGUGAGCUACAAACAUACAUGUAUGGAUGAAACAUUUUGUUUCUAGGGAAUGGAUUGACAUUACUUCUUGCAGAUCCUUUCAUUUCCUCCUUGGAGUUGGACCAGUCAGAGGAUCAUCGGUACUGUUUGUUUCUGCAAGGACGGACUUUCCAUUGCAAGCAGACCGUUUUGAAUGUUAAGUAAAAUGAUAAUAAUAAAAUGAUUAGAAACCAUCCCAAAGUGCGAAUUCACUGUAUGGUAGACAAAAAGACUGUGGCUGGUCCUGAGCUCAGUUGUGUUCAAAUAACACCUAUUUUGGGUGAAGCUAGCUAGUUUGAGAGCUGUCUUAAGAUAGCUCCCAGCUGAAUAACUCCCAAUCAACAUACCUGUUGUAAAGCUGGUGUUUGGCCUCUUCUGCACGGCCGGACCAAAAGACCAUAUUAGAGCAACCUUGUACAUUUGUUGUGAUUAUUUAUUACUGUCAUUCAGAGUGGGGGAUUUCUUUUGUUCCCGGAAAGAAUUGCCUACUUGUUUUCAUCCAUACAAGAAUUUAUCCCCCCAAGAAAGGUGAUGAUACUACAUCUAAAGCAUGGCUCUUUCAAUUCCCAAAUAAAAGAGGCAACAUGUCAGCAGGGGGCUACUUGCCCACUGGAUACUCUACUUAUAUAAAGCACAAAAAGAGGCCUAUUUGUAUGUAAUGUAACAAAAAUUAUUUUUAAUUUUUUUUUUUUGGGGGGGGGGAGUUUGGGUUCCAUAUCUUACAUAAGUUUAACAGAAUGUUGAUGUACAUGAAUAGCAUACCCGCCAACCUGUCGUACUCCUUCCUGAGGUCAGGCAUCACCACAUAAUAGAUUAGAAUUUCAAUGAACUGAUCACCCAUUUGGACACCUUUUAAUCUAUUGUGUGGUAUUGUCAGACCUCAGGAAGGAGUAUGACAGGUUGGCAGGUCUGGCUCCAAACCUCACUUCACAGUACAUUACAUCUCUACAUGUGCACACCAUCGGCUCAAGAGAACAGUGGUUUCUUGUGAUCAGCCUUUGGUCUGUUAUAGAUUGAUCUCCAUACCAUUUGACCUGGUUCUAAAUUUUGGGCUGUGCUAUUAUUUUUCUGGUUCCAUCUAAUGGAACAGUCCAACUAGGUGUGGUGAAAUCAGGUAUUUGUCUGUAAAUGAUGCCAGGCUCACUAUUGUUUAAGAAUUCUUCUUCUUUACAUUGCUAGGGUCUGAGAAUGAAGCGGAUUGGUCCUUUGUUCUUUUGUUGCAGAAUUUUUUUUUAGGUUUUUAGGGUCUUGCAUGUUACGUGUUAACUUCAUUCCAAAGGAUUUGUUGGCAGCCCAUAUAAAACCAGGGUUCAGGAAAUUUCAGUAGGGAUUUUUUCUAACAGGGCACACCGGAGAACAUCCAAGUGGAAUGGUCCUGUCUACCAGGCUGUUUAGGGACAUGUUGAUGGAGCAGAAAAGAAAGGAGAGGUGGGAGAAACAUUUCUUAAACCAAGCUGUGUGCAAGAGUCUAAACUAAAGAAUUUGAGGCCAGUGAUGAAUGGAAUGUACAGUCAAAAAUUAGCGGCAAAACAAAAAUUAUCCAUCAGUAUUUCACUGAAUUUUAAGGCAAACCUGAAACAGCAAACUCCAGUCCAGGUAUAAUCUGGCAUUUUCGUGCCAUUUCCCAACCCCUUGGAAUAAUACACUACUGUUGGGCUUUGCUCAGUCAUCUUUACAAGAGUUUCCCCCAAAAUCAUGUAUAGGGAAUACUGCAAGUGUGUCGGUACUAAAAUAUGAGCCAGAGUCCAAAUUGCUCUGCUAGGGUUGGGUAUAUCACACACAUCACACAUCAACACACAAGAACACACAAGGUUAAUGGUCAGGUACUGUAUCUAGUGUCACAGUGACUAUGGCUCCCCACAAGGGUGUGUUUUAUCGCUACUACUUUACAUUUUAUAUACUGACAACUGCAGGAGUUCAUGUAGGCUUGACAAAAGAUUUUUUUUGUCAAAUUUGCCAAUUAAAGCACUCUGAUUUCACUCCUUUCCAGAUCUGAUAAUAAUCAUCAUGAUGCUCAUCAAGACUUUGUUGAUUGGUGUGAUGAAUCGUAUCUGGAAUUGAAUGAAACCAAAUCUAAGCAACAUCUUGUCAAUUGUGGGAGAAAGGGUAGAGAUGCCUUGAAAACUGUCAUUCAUGACCAGGAAGUUGAAAUUGUGUCUGAAUGUAAAUAUCCUGGAACUGUAUUUGAUGACAAGCUCAGAUGGGACAUAAACACCUGCAAUUGUCAAAGAGUGCCAACAGCAUUUAUAUUUUUUAUGUAAGUUGAAGGUGUUGCUGUUGACAAAACCAUCCCGAGUCUUUUUUUAUCAGUCAUUGAUUGUGUGCUGCCCUUUUCACUUAUUUGCUGGUAUUUUAAUCCAAGUGUUAAGAACAAGAAUAAUUUGCAAAGGGUUGUUAACCCCUUCACAGCGGGAGCUGUCCACAGCGGCAGCUUUGUGUGAGGACUAGUGCGUACCACACAUACAGUCUAUUCAUCAUGCAGCUGCUGGUUC
rnacentral:misc_RNA from 1 species